rnacentral:rRNA from 1 species
GUCAGCAGCCGCGGGAACACCGGCAGCUCUAGUGGUAGCAAUUUUAUUGGGCCUAAAGCGUCCGUAGCCGGUUUAAUAAGUCUCUGGUGAAAUCCUGCAGCUUAACUGUGGGAAUUGCUGGAGAUACUAUUAGACUUGAGACCGGGAGAGGUUAGAGGUACUCCCAGGGUAGAGGUGAAAUUCUGUAAUCCUGGGAGGACCGCCUGUUGCGAAGGCGUCUAACUGGAACGGUUCUGACGGUGAGGGACGAAAGUUAGGGGCGCGAACCGGAUUAGAUACCCGGGUAGUCCUAACUGUAAACGAUGCGGACUUGGUGUUGGGGUGGCUUUGAGCUGCUCCAGUGCCGAAGGGAAGCUGUUAAGUCCGCCGCCUGGGAAGUACGGUCGCAAGACUGAAACUUAAAGGAAUUGGCGGGGGAGCGCCACAACGCGUGGAGCCUGCGGUUUAAUUGGAUUCAACGCCGGACAUCUCACCAGAGGCGACAGCUGUAUGAUAGCCAGGUUGAUGACUUUGCUUGACUAGCUGAGGGGAGGUGCAUGG